UUUUUAUAUAUAUUUAAAUAUAUAUAUAUAUAUAUAUAUAUAUAUAUAUAUAUAUAUAUAUAUAUAUAUAUAUAUAUAUAUUUUUUUUAUUGGGGUAGCCCCCAAAAUAUUGGAUCAUAUGAAAAAAGACAACUCUGUUCCGCAGAGUAGCUGUUGACAUUAUAGUUGUGCAGGAACUUUGUUGACUCUAGAGAACCUCAGGCAAAUCGCACAAGCCAGUGGCGGCGACUUUGCAUGCGGAUGUCAUCCAUAUCAACUUUUGAUGCCAGUUUCUGCGUCUACAAUGGUGACCACGGGUAACGGGGAAUCAGGGUUCCAUUCCGUACAGGGAUCCUGAGAAACAGCUACCACAUGCAAGGUAGGCAGCAGUUGCGCAAAUGACCCACUCCCGACGCGGGAAGGUAGUGACGACAAAUAACAAUACAGGACUCUUUAGAGGCCGUGUAAUUGUAAUAAGUCCACUUGAAAUCCUUUAACUCUGAUCAAUUGGAGGGAAGUCUGGUGCAGAGCCACUGACCCGUGCGUGCUGCAGCUGAAACUCCACUA
rnacentral:rRNA from 1 species